rnacentral:rRNA from 1 species
CGGAAUUACUGGGCGUAAAGAGUGUGUAGGCGGUCCUCUAAGUUCGGUGUGAAAUCUCCCGGCUUAACUGGGAGGGUGCGCCGGAAACUGGAGUGCUCGAGCGUGGGAGAGGAAAGCGGAAUUCCUGGUGUAGCGGUGAAAUGCGUAGAUAUCAGGAGGAACACCUGCGGUGAAGACGGCUAUCUGGACGGUUACUGACGCUGAGACACGAAAGCGUGGGUAGCAAACAGG